UCAGUAUAUACAUUUGAAUUACACUUUUGUUUCAUAUCGGCUGCAUAAUUUCAUAAUAGGAGUGGGACAAAUUAAGGUUACUAGUUUUAUGUGUAAUAACAUAGCGUGUAGGGUUUCCUUCCAUAGCCUUAAUGGCAAAGUUACGAUGUCCUCAUGUUGAACUAAUUGCAUUUUUUGUUUGCUGUACAAUAUACUCUUCGCGCACAAUUUUGAAUGAAUUCAUUUAUCAGGUCGUUUCGGAAAAGAACAAUUUCACCACAGAUCAUUCAUUGAAUUACUGCGCUGACAACUUUACACAGUCAGGAGUAAGAAGAACUGUAGCGGAAGAAACAUCAAGAUGGGGUAUGUAUGAAAAAGUGGCUCAGCGAAUCUCCAACGUCGUGGCAGCUUUGGUAAUUACUUCAGCAAGUGACCAGAUCGGACGUAAAAAAGCUCUGCUUUUUCCUGUAAUGGGAAUGGUGAUAUCUUCAACAUUUCAGACAUGUAUAAUCAAGUUUAAUUUAUUUGCAGAUUUCCGCUGUUUUACAUUGUCAUCAAUGGGUUUUUUGAAGGAGCGUUUGGUGCUUAUGACGUCCUCAUAGAUUUGUGUACCGUCUAUAUCACCGAUACUGUGUCGUUAGAAAACAGAGGGAAAAGGUAUUUUCACAUUUCGGCGGAGGAAUUUCUCUUCUCGGUACAGGAUUUUGGAUCAAGUAUCAAGGCUUCGUUCCCCCAUCAUUGUUUCUAGUUUCUUGC